UACGUAGGGGGCAAGCGUUGUCCGGAUUCAUUGGGCGUAAAGAGCGUGUAGGCGGCCAGGUAGGUCGGUUGUGAAAACUGGAGGCUCAACCUUCAGACGUCGACCGAAACCAUCUGGCUAGAGUCCGGGAGAGGAGAGUGGAAUUCCUGGUGUAGCGGUGAAAUGCGCAGAUAUCAGGAGGAACACCGAUGGCGAAGGCAGGUCUCUGGGCCACUACUGACGCUGAGGAGCGAAAGCGUGGGGAGCGAACAGG
rnacentral:rRNA from 1 species